UACGUAGGGUGCAGGCGUUAAUCGGAAUUACUGGGCGUAAAGGGCUCGUAGGCGGCCAACUAAGUCAGACGUGAAAUCCCUCGGCUUAACCGGGGAACUGCGUCUGAUACUGGAUGGCUUGAGUUUGGGAGAGGGAUGCGGAAUUCCAGGUGUAGCGGUGAAAUGCGUAGAUAUCUGGAGGAACACCGGUGGCGAAGGCAGCCCCCUGGGUUAACACUGACGCUCAGGCACGAAAGCGUGGGGAGCAAACAGG
rnacentral:rRNA from 1 species